rnacentral:rRNA from 1 species
GCCGAAUGAGUUUCUGACCUAUCAACUCGAGACGGCGGGGUAGAGGCCCGCCGCGGUAACGACGGGUAACGGGGAAUCAGGGUUCGAUUCCGGUAGAGGGAGCCCGAGAAACGGCUACCACUUCCAAGGAAGGCAGCAGGCGCGCAACUUACCCUAAUCUCGAUUCGAGGAGGUAGUGACAAGAAAUACCGAUGCGGGACCCUACGGGUGCCGCGUUCGGAAUGAGUACGAUUCGAACCACCUAACGAGGAACGAUCGGAGGGCAAGUCUGGUGCCAGCAGCCGCGGUAAUUCCAGCUCCAAUAGCGUACGUUAAAAGUUGCUGCAGUUAAAAAGCUCGUAGUUGAACGUUCGGGUUCCGCGGGACGGGGCCGCCCCGCGAGGGACGGCGCCGCCCCGGGGCUCGUGAUAUCCUUAUCUCGCCGCCCCGUCGCCGAGGCGGACGGAGGGAU